AUUUUGCUCUCAGGUUUCCUUUUACCCUUUCUUGUUUUCCGGUUUGCUGUCUUAACUCUCAAAGCAUAUCGUGCUCCUGGAGAGCCGCCGCAUAUCUUGCUCUUGUUUUACGUGUUUUCAGACUAGCUUGUUUUCUGUCAUGCAUCAUCCAUCUCGCAUCAUUUAGUUGGAUUGAAUGUUUUUCAUUUUUUCUGUUUAUUUGCGGUUUUAUACAUUAGAAAGCAUAUAGAAAUACCCAGGCAAUGGCGGGGUGGAUGAGAGAAGGAGCUUGGUUGCGCAUCAGAUACAGUUUCUCCUUGCUGGCCG
rnacentral:sRNA from 1 species